rnacentral:rRNA from 1 species
CCCAGACUCCUACGGGAGGCAGCAGUGGGGAAUAUUGCACAAUGGGGGAAACCCUGAUGCAGCAACGCCGCGUGAGUGAAGAAGUAUUUCGGUAUGUAAAGCUCUAUCAGCAGGGAAGAAGAAAGACGGUACCUGACUAAGAAGCCCCGGCUAACUACGUGCCAGCAGCCGCGGUAAUACGUAGGGGGCAGGCGUUAUCCGGAUUUACUGGGUGUAAAGGGGGCGCAGACGGCAGCGCAAGCCAGGAGUGAAAGCCCGGGGCCCAACCCCGGGACUGCUCUUGGAACUGCGCGGCUGGAGUGCAGGAGGGGCAGGCGGAAUUCCUGGUGUAGCGGUGAAAUGCGUAGAUAUCAGGAGGAACACCGGUGGCGAAGGCGGCCUGCUGGACUGCGACUGACGUUGAGGCCCGAAAGCGUGGGGAGCAAACAGGAUUAGAUACCCUGGUAC